AUAUCUCAUGGUUAUUAAUUCGGUUAUUUAUUUAAGCGGUUAAUUAAGCAUCGAGUGUUAAAUAUGCUAGUCCUUUCAUGAUUAUGUGAUAGGUGGUGCAUGGCCGUUCUUAGUUCGUGGAGUGAUCUGUCUGCUUAAUUGCGUUUCACUAAGGGCCCAUAAAUUCAAGGUAUGUUAGCUAUCGUCGCUCUAUGGACCCCUUAUUCACUGCUUUAAUUAUUUGUUAAGCGCGCGUCUUUAUUUAAUGAGUUUAAACACUGCGCAUGCUGUUGGGCUCUGAAAGCAACGAACGUGACCGCAACGUCUUGU
rnacentral:rRNA from 1 species